ensembl:scaRNA small Cajal body-specific RNA 4
GCUGGAGGAUCAAGAAGGCUGAGUCUGAUGAAGCAAGACUUUGCUGAUACACUCCUCCUAGAAAAAAGGGUGGAAAGAACAGCCCUUAUUGGAGACAACCACAGGGUUGACUGCACUACCCAACAUUU